GAUAGGAUGGCCGAAUAAAAGCGAUAAACUGUAAAUUUAUUUAUGAAAUUAUAUUUCUCCUAUCA
rnacentral:tRNA from 1 species